UUCGACCUCAAAUCAAGUAGGAGUACCCGCUGAACUUAAGCAUAUCAAUAAGCGGAGGAAAAGAAACCAACAGGGAUUGCCUUAGUAGCGGCGAGUGAAGCGGCAAAAGCUCAAAUUUGAAA
rnacentral:rRNA from 1 species